AGUAUUGAGACAUAUAGAAACAGAUCACAGAUACUUGUAUGCGAUUCCAUCCAUAACCAUAAGAAAGCCAAUUUCCAGUUGCAUUGACGUGUAACAAACAAUACAAAGGGGUCGCUCUCCCGGGGGCCUCCUUUUGGCCCUUGCCGCGGUCGAUCGAUGGAUUGAUUGAUUAUUCGAUCUAGCUGCCAGCCUGCUUUCAGGCGGGCAACCUAUCUUACAUCCCAAUCAGGGCCUGUCAGUCUGCUGUCUUCUCUCCUCCUAUAGGUGUUGCCAAAAAACUAAAAAUAAAAAAACUGAAAGAAAAGGAUAAAAAAUGGUUGGUUUUACAGUUGGGCGCCACUUCUUUGUGGCGCCGGAUCUCCCUAGCUGAGAAUGCCUACGUAGUGCUACCACUGACUGGUGUGUGUUUGUGAAGGGCAGGAAUUUUUCCUGGUCUUGUCUCGCCCGGCCGUCAUGGUCCUAGCUGAAGAAGAAUCUGUACAAAGGACUUUGACGGUCCGUGCUCCGAUCCGAUCCAUCGCCAGCUCCCGCCGCGGCGCCCACCGCUACAAGUGUCCCCUCCGACGGCGACCGGCACGGACACUGACGGAUGGAGAACCGAUCCGGUUCGCAUGCGCCACGCCGUUGCCUCUAUCGUGCUGUUGAUUUUCCGAAGGAG
rnacentral:lncRNA from 1 species